rnacentral:rRNA from 1 species
GUGACGAAGCGACGCCGCGUGCGGGGAGAAGGCCUUCGGGUUGUAAACCGCUGUCGGGAGUUAGGAAGUGCAAGGAUGUUAAUAGCGUUCUUGCUUGACUAAGGCUCCGGAGGAAGCCACGGCUAACUCUGUGCCAGCAGCCGCGGUAAUACAGAGGCGGCAAGCGUUGUUCGGAAUUAUUGGGCGUAAAGAGCACGUAGGCGGCUGUGUAAGUCGGUUGUGAAAGCCUUCCGCUUAACGGAAGAACGGCAUCCGAUACUGCAUAGCUUGAGUGCGGGAGGGGAGAGUGGAACUUCUGGUGGAGCGGUGAAAUGCGUAGAUAUCAGAAGGAACACCGGCGGCGAAGGCGACUCUCUGGUCCGUAACUGACGCUGAGUGUGCGAAAGCUAGGGGAGCAAACGGGAUUAGAUACCCCGGUAGUC